ensembl:lncRNA
UUCAGUUUACACCAGCAAGGAGCUGGAAUCUGUCUCAAUUAUUAGCGAGUCAGGUUGAUGUUUGUUCCUAUGUCUGACCAAAACUGAGCACCUCCUGCGUCCGAGAUAAAAACAUCCACCACAGGACAGACAUCGCAACUGGAACAUACCAAAGCAUGAAACCCACUGACUGCAGUCUCUCAGCAAGUGCAUGCACAGCCCUCACCUACUGACCAGCACGUGUCAGGAGCCACAGGCACGAACAGCUAGAGGAGCCAUGGAUUGCAGAAGCAGCAUGACAGAUGUGCAGAGAGGCUGCCUGCCACUGCCUGCUCCUGCCCUGGAGGUUUUCAGCUCAGGGCUGGGGUAGGUGAGAAGUGCCAAGAUUCAUGGCUAACAUGCCUGAAUGUGCAGCAUUCAUAAUUGGCAGAAGUCUAGGAAUACACGGACAAAGCGAAGAACAGGUAAUUCUCCAGGCCUUGGACCAGCAUGCAGUGAGCCUCAUCCCAUCUUCUUUACCAGCCCACCUGCCACAUCCUUCCAGCACAUCAUUCCCUCAUGCAGCUUCUCCUCCUGCACUCCACAGGACAACUGAGAUUUUCAACACUAUUUAAUGCUGCAGCUAAUGUCAUUAAUAGUAAACCGAACAGGAAGAUUAGAGGGAUUUGAUUCAAUUACCAUCUUAUUCAAGCUAGUUGCUAAGAUGAUGCCUAAUUCAGGUUGUUUUGCUUCCCAUGUGGGUAUGGGCUCCUCUAUUUCUACCCAUCCUGACAGCUUGCAGGAAGGUCAGGCCCUACCUUGGGCUGGAAUAACUCGGCAGUGGCCAUGAGAGCCUUGCUUCUCCAGCACCUCUCCUCAGGCAAUGCACACUCUUCUCCUAAUACCUGUGGCAUGAUUUGCUCACAAUUUCUGAUCAUCCUUCCUCACAAUUACAGAGGUGCAUCCUAUAUAUCUUCAUUGUUCUUUCAGUAGCUGCAGCAAUACAUCAUUAUCAUGUAAGUAAAGGUUUGUCCCAUUUUCUCUGGCAGAAAAGGAAUAUUGCGGAUAGCUUUUUUUGUUUGUUUUUUCCCCCCAUAAAUACACAAAACAGAAGAGAGCAACUACAAGUGGCAGAGAGAAGAAUUGAUUAGCCAUUACCAUCCUUUAAUUUGCCAAAACUGAGAUUGUUUAAAAAAUUGGAAGGUUCUUAUUCGUUGCAGGUGUGCACAAAGCAAUUUGGGCAAGAAGCAGCAGGCACAAAGUGCUACAGAAGACUGCUAGCUGAGAAACACAGAUGUACACCAGCACCACAUCCAGGCCAUCAGCUGCUUUUUUAAGCUAUGUAUCAUAGUGCUUGCUCCCCAGGAUCACAGCCAGGGAGCUCCUUGCUCAACACACUGCCUUACAGAUGCUAUAGCCAUCCCUGAGUUCUAUAUUUACUAAUCCCACAGCAAAACAGCCUCACAUAGAACUCACAGAAACACAGUAUGAAUUAUCUGUAGGAAUUUCACUACGGGAAAAGCUCCUAUCACCAUCCUAACAGGAAAGCAUAGGAGAAGGGUGAGCAAUUUAUGUCGCUCCACUCACCCAGCCUUAAAUGCUCGUUGCCUCUCUGAAUGGUAACCCAAGGCCUGCAGUGUAUGCUGGGAACCCACUUCCACCUUAGAAACACUCACACACCCAAGAUGUUUUGACUUCUGUAUCCAAAGCACACCAUCCAAAGCAAAGGCACACACAUACAGAACUCCCCGCAUGUCAGAAAAUAAGAAAUAUGAAGUUAGGUUUGCUGAGAACAAAAAGCAAGUGGAGAUUCUCUAGGGAGGAGGUUGUUUGCUCAUCCCUUUGUUCAGUUCUAAGAUUACAGUUCAGUUUAUUCUCCACCACUCACUCCUAACCUUUAGACAAAGAUCUACAGUAACAGAGCUAUCAGGCUGGGAUUACUUUUAUAUUUAUCCUUGGAUAAAAAAAAACACUGUUCUUUCAACCAGUUUAUGAAUAAAUGGCUGGCAAUUUUCUUAUCUACA